rnacentral:rRNA from 1 species
GAUGAACGCUGGCGGCGUGCCUAAUACAUGCAAGUCGAGCGAACGGACGAGAAGCUUGCUUCUCUGAUGUUAGCGGCGGACGGGUGAGUAACACGUGGAUAACCUACCUAUAAGACUGGGAUAACUUCGGGAAACCGUAGCUAAUACCGGAUAAUAUUUUGAACCGCAUGGUUCAAAAGUGAAAGACGGUCUUGCUGUCACUUAUAGAUGGAUCCGCGCUGCAUUAGCUAGUUGGUAAGGUAACGGCUUACCAAGGCAACGAUGCAUAGCCGACCUGAGAGGGUGAUCGGCCCCACUGGAACUUGGACACGGUCCAGACUCCUACGGGAGGCAGCAGUAGGGAAUCUUCCGCCAUGGGCGAAAGCCUGACGGAGCAACGCCGCGGGAGUGAUGAAGGUCUUCGGAUCGUAAAACUCUGUUAUUAGGGAAGAACAUAUGUGUAAGUAACUGUGCACAUCUUGACGGUACCUAAUCAGAAAGCCACGGCUAACUACGUG